GGUCAUGAGCAGCACAAUAACAAAACCAAAUGGAAGUCUAAUCUAUCUCCAUGCCCGGGAAUGCUGUCAAGGAGUGUGCUUGUAUGUCUGUGCACCUCACGCAUGACGUCUAUAGAAGCCGGAAGGUGGUGCUGGAUCCCUGGGAACUGGAGAUGCAGACGGUUGUGCGCCAUCAGGAGCUGGGAAUUGAACCUGCGUCCUCUGGAAGAGCCGCCAGUGCUCUUCGCCACUGAGCCAUCUCCCCCGCCCGCCAGAGUUGGCAAAUAUUUGAGGCACCCUGUUUGUAAACUAGGGUGUGUGCACACACGUGCUGUGUGAUGCACAGGGCACCGGCCUUGAGAGGUGAGAAGAGGACAUUGGGCCCCUGAGGAUGGACCGACAGGAAGUUGUGAGCUGCCGAUUCCGCUUCUGGGAAGGUUCUCUGAAGAACUGCUCCUAAAGUGUACCAUCUCUCCAGCCCCCUAUUUUCAUAUUUUUAAAAUCAUUUGGAAAUCUACCUUUAAGCCUCAACGGCUGACCAUAA